GGCGAUGUAGCUCAGUUGGUUAGAGCACGCGGCUCAUAACCGCGGUGUCGGUGGUUCGACUCCACUCAUCGCCA
rnacentral:tRNA from 1 species